GACGAACGCUGGCGGCGUGCUUAACACAUGCAAGUCGAACGGAAAGGCCCUGCUUUUGUGGGGUGCUCGAGUGGCGAACGGGUGAGUAACACGUGAGUAACCUGCCCUUGACUUUGGGAUAACUUCAGGAAACUGGGGCUAAUACCGGAUAGGAGCUCCUGCUGCAUGGUGGGGGUUGGAAAGUUUCGGCGGUUGGGGAUGGACUCGCGGCUUAUCAGCUUGUUGGUGGGGUAGUGGCUUACCAAGGCUUUGACGGGUAGCCGGCCUGAGAGGGUGACCGGCCACAUUGGGACUGAGAUACGGCCCAGACUCCGACGGGAGGCAGCAGUGGGGAAUAUUGCACAAUGGGCGGAAGCCUGAUGCAGCAACGCCGCGUGCGGGAUGACGGCCUUCGGGUUGUAAACCGCUUUCGCCUGUGACGAAGCGUGAGUGACGGUAAUGGGGAAAGAAGCACCGGCUAACUACGU
rnacentral:rRNA from 1 species